GCACGUGGAGCCCGGCGCCGGGGGCAGGGGGAGGGGGCGGGCGCGCGAGGCCAUCCGCCGAUUGGCCAGCUGUGGAUGCGUCAGGCCCUCCCACCUCGGGGCGGGGCCCGCGGCGGCCCCACGGAGCCUCAGCGCGCGUGCGCAGGGUAAGUCAGUGGGCGUGAGAGGACUGGAGUAGGAGCGGGUGGGGCUCCGCGGCCGCCAUGAGGCGCGCUGAGUUUGACACGUCUCCCGGUAGUGCGCCCGCCCUUUAAUCCUUACGGAGAAGCGGGAGUUUCGGCUGCAGGUUUUGGCUCUGCCGGCGCGCACGUAACCAGGAAACUGGGAGCCACGCGCAGCUCCCCGUCGACGCCGCCUUCAGAAGCCGCUGUGCACUGCGCUGCUGCCGCCUCGGCGCCGGGGAACGCAAGUUCCUUUACCUCGCGCGCAGUCGCCCGCCUCCCAACCCGGGAGGUGAAGGCGGGGACGGCGAGCGCGAACUCGAGGGGAUGGCUGUCCCGAGUGGCAACGGCCGAGCCCGGCCCGCGCAGGGACCCUUGUGGAGGGGCCCUCGGGGAGAGGCCGCAGCACGCUGGGGUCGUCACGCUGGUCCACGCCGGGCUCUCCUCCCGGGAGAGCGGACCCGGCCGCGUGCGAUUCGGACCCGCGGGGCUGGUGAAGCCGCUGUCCGGCCCCGCGGGUGCUGUCGGGCGUGCGUCACUGCUUUUUGUAGAACAUGACCUGACUUCCGAUGGCAGCUACUGACGUCAGAGCUGCUCCCUAGACUCUCCCUAAGCGUCUUUCCAGAAGGAUCUGCUUAGAAACCAAAGCUCCAGCCGAGUGUUUCUUUUCCCCUACAUUUUUAGUGAUUCCCUUCUGUUGAUGCCUUUGAAAGCUCGGAGAAAUAAAUACGUUUAUUGUUAUGCUGUUAGAAAACAAGUUCAUGCUUGUCCUCUAAAGAUAAGUGGUCUUUUCAUUCUACUUUUUGUUUUGUAGUAAGAGCCAUAAAAUUUGCAAUCGCAAGUUUAUGUUGUUAUACUUAGUUACCCAAGGGGUAGUUUUAAGCAUUUUUAUUCAUAUGAAUAUUUGAAUAUAAAUGUGUGUUCAAAUAUAUAGAAUCGUUCUUAUAUUCCACAUUUUUAAUAUUUAAACUAUUCACAAUAUCUUUUAAUGAUGUUUAAAGAACGGCAGUGUAGAGAUACUGUUGUCAGAUUUGUGAGGUGAGCACACGUUGAUAUUGCCAGUUUCGCUUUUGUUUAUCAAUUCAAUAAGCACUGCUUUUUAAAACACGUGUUGAAGCUUCAGGUUUGCACAGAAGUUCAUUUUCAGGAAUUCCUAACUAAUAAAGGGUAUCAGACACGUUCUUACAGUUUUGAACAUAAAUACUGCAGUUAGCAUAUGUAGUGGGAUAUUUGUGUGGUGAAAGUGCCUCCAUAUUUCAUAUCUUUUCUUUGAAACAAGAUUCUGUUCAGUAUGCAUUAAGUGGUAGUUAUUUUUUAACUUCCUGUUACAUACGUAAAUUUCAUAAGGAAAGGAAAUUUGGGGAGUCGUUACAGCUUUUCUCCCUUUAAUCACAGCGUACCUGUCCAUUGCUCACAUUGUUUUCAGAAAAAAAAGUUGUAUCUCAGCUGGAUAUCUGACUUGACUUUAGUAAUGGGCCUAGAAACUAUAAACUGAACAAAGCUUAUAAUGCACAAAAACAGGAUAAGUACAUUUGGGGGACAAUAUCUUACUGGCAAGUAACUGGAGUUUCACCAGGCGUGUAGCAGGUGGGAUCAAUUUUCUAAAACGGAAGAUGAUCUAAGAUGCAUAUUUUAUAGGCGUUCUCCUAAGCAGUGCUAAUUCUACAUGUUUUAAUUGCUGGUAGAUGCGUUUCCAGAACGAGGAUGCCAUUUACAGCGAGUGUUAAAAAAAACGUUGGAUGAUGAGUAAGUGACCGAAUAGAUGAGAGAUGUGUGGGCUGAAUCUUGAGUAGUAAGAGUUUGCUAAGGAGUCCAGGAAGGGAAGAGUAUUUCUAAGAAGUGUAAAAUAUCUUCCAGUAUUGAGAGCACUAUAUGUAGUUCAGUCUGGGGGCAGUGUGUGAUACACAUGCAGCUGUGAUGUGAAAUAGAGAAAGGCCGACAAAUGAGAAAGUAUUAACCACUAACGUCUAUUCCAGUUUAUUAUAUUACAAAUUGACAUUAAUUGAGCACUUGUGCCUCAAGACUAACGCUCAUAGGUAUUAUCUGCAUUUUACAGAAGAGGAAAUUGAGGCUUAGGGAGAUCCAUUAACUUGUCAUGUAAUUAUUAGCAGGUAAAUCAGGAAUUUGAAGUCAGUUUGACUCCAGAGCCCACAUUCUUAUACCUAUGUGUUUUAAAUAAUUUUGGUCACCUCUGGUCAAUUCAGGCUAAGAUUGGUUUCUUUAAUGCAAACCAAAGGCCUUUUUUUUUUUUUUUUUUUUUAACUCUGAAACACAAUCUCGCUGUCUUGCCCAGAUUGGAAUGCAGUGGCGUGAUCUCAGCUCACUGCAACCUCCGUCUUCCCGGGUUCAAGUGAUUCUCGUGCGUCAGCCACCCAAGUAGCUGGGCUUACAGCUAUACGCCACCACACCCAGCUAAUUUUUGUAUUUUCAGUAGAGAUGGGUUUCACUGUGUUGCCCAGGCUGGUCUCAAACGCCUGACCUCCAGUGAUCCACCUGCCUUGGCCUUCCAAAAUGUUGGGAUUACAGGCAUGAGCCACCAUGCCUGGCCGCAAAAGAGUCUUCAGAGAAAAUUAUUGUAAUCCAUAGAAAAAACAACUGUUUUAUUUAAUAAUGACUGUCAGUGUAGCCUUGUUCCUGGAAUUGAAUCUCCCGCAAUACUAAACCUAGUACUUCUUAUUCAAGUAAUUACUCUUGAGGGUCAGGCGCGGUGGUGGCUCACGUCUGUAAUCCCAGCACUUUGGGAGGCUGAGGCAGGCCGAUCGCCUGAGGUCAGCAGUUUGAGACCAGAAUGGCCAACAUGGUGAAACCCCGUCUCUACUAAAAAUAGAAAAAUUGGCCGGGCGUGGUGGCAGGUGCCUGUAAUCCCAGUUACUCCGGAGGCUGAGGCAGGAGAAUCGCCUGAACCUGAGAGGCGGAGGUUGCAGUGAGCCGAGAUUGCGCCACUGCACUCCAGCCUGGGUGACAAGAGCAAGAUUCCGUCUCAAAAAAAAAAAAAGGAAAAGAAAAAGUAAUUACUCUUGCAUCAGUGAAUUGUGCCAGGUGAAAAUUAUUAAAAGUAGUUGGUGGAACCGAUAAGCUAAUUUUAUCUAUUUCUUGCUUGCUGUGGUUUUCCUGUUUCUUAUUGACCAAGAAAACACUGGAAAGCAUUACCAAAAGGCACAGUAUUGAAAGGAGGAGUAAUUGAGAAUACCUACUCAUUCCUACUUUAAAACAUUAAUUGGAUUGUAUAUGUUUAGUAAUGCCAUAGAAAACUUCAGCUCUAAAGCAAGUGAAAUAAUGUAAAACUAAAAAUCUCACCAGAUGCAGUGGCUCACGCCUGUAAUCCCAACACUUUGGGAGGCUGAGGCAGGCAGAUCACUUGUGGCCAGGAGUUCGAGAUCAGCCUGGCCAACAUGGCGGAACCGUCUCUACUAAAAAUACAAAAAUUAGCCAGGUGUGUGGUGCGUGCCUGUAAUGCCAGCUACUUGAGAGGCUGAGGUGGGAGAAUCACUUGAACCCAGGAAGCAGAGGUUGCAGUGAGCCGAGAUCGUGCCACUGCACUCCAGCCUGGGUGACCGAGUGAGGCCUCAUCUCCAAAAAUACUGAAAACUAAAAAUCCCAGUAGCUGGCCUGGUUUCACAUGUAUUUUUUAAAUCCCUUGAGAAUAUCAUAACGCCAAAGCAUUGAAGUCAAACGCAUCAAGCAUUUCUGAAUAUGAUGUCUUGUUUAUUGCCAGCCAGGCACCCAUGGUAUAUCAAUGCUGACCAGAGUCCACUGAGCCUUAGAAGUAACGAUAUUUUAAUUAAUAAUGAUAUUAUGGCAAUAAUACUUCUAUCGUUCAUACACUGAAGGUGAUAAUAUUCCAAAUAUGACAACUUUUCAAAGACAGAAGGUUAUAACCAGAUCUGGAAUUUCCAUAGAUUUUUUUUAAGUUUUUUUUUUUAAACAUCUACAGAUUUAAGAUGACUUGAAUUAAUCAAAUAUAAUUCUGGGCUUCAUUGCAAUGCCACUGUCAAGAAACCCAUUACCCUAAUAAUUGUAAAAACGGAAGAAUUUCUUACAAAGAAAUUCUUUCUCUUUAACAUAAAUUCUUCCAGCCUUGAUAACUCAAACUUCUUGGGGAAGAUGAUAAAUUGGAUAGUUAUUCUAAACAACUGCUGCAACAGGAUAUUGUGGCAAAAAGAAAAGGCAAAGUAUAGUUAUCCUCUUUUGAUGAUGUUUACUUUCCUGAGAGCCUGUAAUCAGAAGGGUCCAGUGGUCUCAAUGGUGACUAGAUUUAAAUGUUCACUUCUUCACUGUUGUGAUAAGAACUUGGAGAACUUGAAAGGUAUUUCAUAUUUUUGUUAUUUCUCCUCCUGGUUAUAUAUUCCUUUCAAUGAAAUGUGGAAAUUACAGAUGAUAAAUUUGUAAAAUUAGAUGAAGUAGAGAAAAAGGUAGAAAGUUAGUCCUUAAUAUUAAACCAAUUGAUGGAGGGAGCCAAGUUUCUUAUUGUUGGAGAGGGAAGUUACAGAUUAGUAGAAAAGGCUAAAAUGAGCCAGGUAGUAAUGGAUUUGUCCAAGAUGUCAAUAAGAAUUCAUAGUUAGCUUAAUAUAGAUUCAGAUGGAUAGAAGCAGAAAUAAUUAUAGGUGUGUGUGUAUACAUGGGUUAUGCAUAUACAUAUGUCCUAGCUCUGCCUGCUGUGAGAGGGCCUAAAGCAGUGACACCGCAGUAACAAUGAACACACCCAGUACCCAGAUCCGGGUUUCUAAUACCAUUCUCUAGUGAAAGAAACCAGGGCUCCUUGCAGACAUUGCUGAUUCUGGGGCUGGGGCAGGGAAAAUACAAGAUGAGCCUAGAGCAUCGUGUAGUACCAGAACAAGGUACUGGUACUUGUUCCAGUAAGUGGAAGGAUAGGACAUGUGAAAGGGACCCAGGAGCUAACCUGAAAGAGCUCCCAAUGGCCAAAACUGGAACUAACUCAGGUACUGUUGGAUUAUAACUCAGUACAUAGUUAUCCAUGAGUCUAUACUGAUAUAAACAACUGAAUGAAUAAAUAAAUAAAUGGGAGAUGGGAGACAGAAGACAAUGCUUCUUUACAGAAGAAUUUCAAAUGUUUAAUGUAGAUAUUCCCUGGUGAAGACGAUUCCGCCUCCAACGCCUUCUUGAAUGUGGGCUACACAUAAUGACUUGCUUCCAAAAAGUAGAGUAUGGGAAGGGGAAAACGAAGCGACUUUACAGUGGAGAAGCCUGUUGGAUGCUGCCAUGGCCAGUAAUUGUUCACAUCCUCAGUGGAAAGUCCUGUUGAUGAUGUGAUUGUUGACACGAUGUGAUGAGAAGGCCACUUCACCUCUUCGGUAUUCUUCCCUAAAACCCAUAGCCCAGUCUAAUCAUGAGUAAAACAGAUGAAUGUUGAUUGGGGACAUUCUUUAGGAUACACGGCUAGUAUUCCUCAAAACUGUGAAGGUUAUGAAAAACAAGGGAAGUUUGAGAAACUGCCGCAGACCAGAAGAGGCUCAGGAGGCAUGGUGACUGACUCUAGUGUGUUCACUUGGAUGGGAUCCUGGCACAGCAAAAGAACGUCAGUGGAAAGAUGAGUAAAAUCCUAAUAGAGUUUUAGGUAAUUUUCACGAACCAAUGUUGGUUUCCUAGUUGUGGCAAACAUACUAUUAUAAUGUGAUGUUAACAGUGGGGGACACUGAGGGACACUCUGUGGUAUCCUUGCAGCUUUUCUGUACAUCUCAAAUUAUUGUAAAACAUAAAGUGUACUUCAAAAAAGAGGAAUUGAGGCCACUUAAAGCUCUCACAGUGGCAGCGUUCUCACAGCUGUUUGGUCUGCUUAUCCAACACGCUUCAUUUCCUCGUAAGACGUGCCGACUGCCCAUUGCACUGACCGUUGGAAGACCGUAGGCAUUCUCUAGAAUGUCAGUCACUUGGGCUCACACCAGUUGAACUGUAUGCCUACCAAGAGUCAGUUUUUCUACACCUGUAAGGAUUAUUAUAAAAUGUAAUUCAAUUAAAUAUUUUUUCUUUUUUCUUUUUUUUUUUUUUGAGACGGAAUCUUGCUCUGUCACCCAGGCUGGAGUGCAGUGGCACCAUCUCAGCUCACUGUAACCUCUGCCUCCUAGGUUCAAGCGAUUCUCCUGCCUCAGCCUCCCUAGUAGCUGGGACUACAGGCAUGGGCUACUACGCCCAGCUAUUUUAUUUUUUUCUGUAUUUUUAGUAUAAACAGGAUUUCACCAUGUUGGUCAGGCUGGUCUUGAACUCCUGACCUCAAAUGAUCCACCUGCCUUGGCCUCUCAAAGUACUGGGAUUACAGGCGUGAGCCACCCUGCCCGGCCUCAAUUAAAUAUUAUGUAACUGAUGAGAUAUGAGUGAGACAUGAGAGCUUGUUUUUAAGAAAAUGAAUGCUUUCAAAGUCAAGUCACUACGAAAACUUGUUUCGAAGUAGAUGAGAAUAUUAAGUCAACUGUAAAAUAUGGGGGAAAGAAUUCUGUACUUGGAUUGUUUAUGGGCAUUUUAAAAUUUAAACUCCAUUUUAAAGAAACCUAAUCUGGAAUUCUUAUGCCCAUAGUUUAUGCAAGAAAACUCUAAAUUCUCACGGUUGAACACUAGUUAAAUCACUUCUGGCCCUAAAUGAGAAGAUUGGGAAAUAACUUUUUUUUACACGUUUUGGGUAUAAAGUGCACAUGGUAUUUUUGAACACUCUUUUAUUAAUCUCCACUGUCAUUCUUGUUUGACCACCUGCCACUCCCAAGAAUGCCAGGUCAGAGGGGUCCAAAUGUGUUUACUGUACAGUGUUUCUUUCACUUAAAGAAGGUAAGGACUGCAGAUGAACAGAUACGAAGGUUUGUAUUACCAACUGCACCUGCAUAAAAUUGGAUAACUAAAAAUGAUUUACUGGAUGAUUUGAGACACUCAAAAGUUUGAAACUCAGUUGUUUUUUUUUAGUGAAGGUCAUUUAAAGUGCCUGGAAAAUGUAGAAUACUAGAUAUAUACUCUGAAUAGAACUUAGCAUCAUAUAUUACAUUGUUAUUCACUUGUUUUAAUUAUUAUUUUAGGCUGGGCACGGUGGCUCACGCCUGUAAUCCCAGCACUUUGGGAGGCUGAGGUGGGCGGAUCACAAGGUCAGGAGUUCAAGACGAGUCUGGCCAACAUAGUGAAACCCCGUCUCUAUUAAAAAAUACAAAAAAAUUAGCCGGGUGUGGUGGUGUGCGCCUGCAAUCCCAGCUACUUGGGAGGCUGAGGUGGGAGAAUCACGUGAACCUGGGAGGUGGAGGUUGCAGUGAACCAAGAUUGCGCCAUUGCACUCCAGCCUGGGCAACAGUGUGAGACUCCGUUCUCAAAAUAAAUAAAUAAAAUAAAAAUAAAAAUAA
rnacentral:lncRNA from 1 species